rnacentral:rRNA from 1 species
UAGGGAAUCUUCCACAAUGGACGCAAGUCUGAUGGAGCAACGCCGCUUGAGUGAAGAAGGUUUUCGGAUCGUAAAGCUCUGUUGUUGGUGAAGAAGGAUAGAGGUAGUAACUGGCCUUUAUUUGACGGUAAUCAACCAGAAAGUCACGGCUAACUACGUGCCAGCAGCCGCGGUAAUACGUAGGUGGCAAGCGUUGUCCGGAUUUAUUGGGCGUAAAGCGAGCGCAGGCGGAAGAAUAAGUCUGAUGUGAAAGCCCUGGGCUUAACCGAGGAAUGGAAUCGGAAAAUGUUUUUGUUGAGUGCAGAAGAGGAGAGUGGAAUUCCAUGUGGAGCGGUGGAAUGCGUAGAUAAAUGGAAGGAAACCAGUGGCGAAGGCGACUCUAUGGUCUGCAACUGAAGCUGAGGCUCGAAAGCAUGGGUAGCGAACAGG